AAGAAGUUGAAUUACUUUUUUAUACCUCUUUUGUGAUCAUUUACUGAGAAUUUGUUAAUUGUUUUAAUAUAUAUAUAUAUAUAUAUAUAUAUAUAUAUAUAUAUGAGGUAGGAUUUCUACGUUCGUUUCUCAUCUUUAGAGAUUGCUGAAUUUCUACAUUCAUUUUUCAUCUUUAGAGAUUGUUGGAUUUCAUAUUGUCGAAUAGUUUAUGGAUUUUCAUAUUAAGUACGUCAAUAUGUUUUUGUAGUAAUUCAAUUAGGUGUGAUAUAAGUUGAUGUGUUUAUACCUUUAAAGAUAAUUUUUCACAUAAUUUCUAAUCCCGCAGCAACGCGGGCAAAACUUUCUAGUAUAUACUAAAAGGGAAAAACGCUUGAAACACUGUUCACUCGCCUGUGUUCUUCCGUUUUUGCCCCUUCUUUGUUUCUGUGAUCACUGUUUAUUAUACAGUUUGAUUCCGUUUAUACCCUUGUUUUGUCAGUGAUGGACACGAGUUGCUGAUGGUGGACGCGUGUUCUCUCUCAGAUUUCUCGACCUCUCUCUCGAAGAUUCCAGUAAAUCUUUCCGUUUCCUUCCUGUUCAGGUUUCUCGAGUUCUCUCUCUAAAAUUCAAUCUCUCCCCAAAAUUUCAUCUCUUCUCCUUAAAACCAGUUUCUCUUUCUAGAACUCCCUUGCCGCUGCCUUCUCUCUUUCACUUUCUUGAUGAAAACGACUCAUUUCCUAGCUCCUCUGUCACUUCCAUGUCCGCCGGCGCGCCCAAGAGGAAAAGACCGCGACCUGUGAAGUAUGACGACGAGAACCCGGUGGUUCAAAACAGUCCCAUUUCUUCGACGGCCAAAGUGGUGGCUGAUCAGCCUGCUAAGGUUGAGACUUCCUGUCCGAAUUUGGAAAAAAAAACCCAGGAUCUCCAGCUGAAAAUGGUGGGUCUUCGUAUGAUUUGCCCCACUCUCAAGCUGUUCUGGCAUCGCUGGAGGCUCAGCGGGAGUCAAUUAGGCCGGAGAGCAACACGGUGUCGAAGUCAAGGCCAGUGAAAGAUGAAUCGGAGAGUCCAAAUGUUAAAACAAGCAAGGAGGAGCCUCAAUCUCCCAAGAAGGAACCUACUGGUCUCAGAUUGGAUGAUAAACGUGAAGAAAUCGCACUGACCAAACCGUGAUAAAAUACAGAGAGAUGUGAAAUUAAAGAGAAGGGGACUAAAUCAAUCUUCGAUUUACCCAACCAAUAAUUCAAGAUUCAAGGAAGAUGGUGAAAAUCAGAACCCCAAUCUAUCAACCCCUCCAAUGAACCAAGCUAAGGCCAUGAAGGCAACAAUCAAAUCAAGAUUGAGAGCACAACGUCGAACAAUGAGGUUCUUCCGAAGCUGAAAAGCACGCUGUCUGCAAGGAAUAUUAUGCUUGGUCCCAAUUACGAUGAGGAAAUUAACAAGACUGUGGUUUGCCUUUAUUAGGUUUCUGUUGAAGGGUUGAGUUCAAUGGAGAAAUAUGUAUUUGGAUUAGGCUCUGCUCAGGAAAAAGUUGUCAAGUU